rnacentral:lncRNA from 1 species
GGUCUUAGCCCCUAGUCUUGGAUUUCUUUGAGUGAAUGGUCCUUACUGAGCAGCUGUGCAGGGACCAUAGGGCAGUCCCCUGCAUCCCAUGCUGGUUAGAGGACACUCACCUCCCCACGGCCCAGCUGAUCUCUGUAGCUUAUUAGUCACUGUCUCUAUUCACACCUCCGUGGUCUGAUUGCUAGACACUAAUUCCACAAGGCUAGGCAUGAUUAUUGUGAUUUCUCACUCCCAGAAUGAGCCUUGGUCCAUGGGAUGUAGACAUGGACAUAUAUAACUUUUAAAAUCUAGAAAAAUCUAACUGCCCACAUGUGCCAUCAGCGUGGGCAUCAUGGAGAAGGGGCCAGCUGAGGAUCUGGGUUGAGGGGCAGCUAGGGGCUGUUCAAAAGGAUGGUGAAUAAUGAGAAUUUUGCAAGAAGAAUAAAAGAUCCAUGACAUGUUAAAGGCAGCAAUUCAGCAAAAGUUAUCUCUACAGUGGUUUCAUACGUUUUAUAGAGCUUUUUACUCAAUGUAGUGACAUAGGGAAAUGAAUAGCAUUGGUAGACUUACUUUUACCAGUGAAUAGUGUGACAUAUUUCUCAUUUUAUAAAGCCAACCAUCAUCUCCAUAAGUAAAACUUGUUGUUUUCUGCACAGUUGUGUCCCUGCUUGCCCUGAACAAUUUUGGCUCUGUUCCCAGGGCAGCCUGUUCCAGGAACCAAGGACUUUCUGAUUUUUUUUUUUUUUUUUUUUUUUUUUUUGAGGCAAUUUGACAGUGCUGUUGCUGUGGGCUUUCUCUAAGGGCUGACUCUGAGGAAACAAAGCUGCAUUCUCUCAAUCAUUGUCCCUGAACUGAGACCUGGGCCCUGGUUAGCAGCAGCCCAAACAAACGUGAACACAAAUGACUGCAGAGGACUGUCUAAAUCCAACAUUAGUGACCAGCCUUGUCCUCAGCCUGGAGCCCAGAUAUGCUCAGGAAGGUCUCCUUUACGGACCGAUCACUCAAGAAUCAGUUCUGGAUCUGCAGGUACAAGAUAUCAGCCAGAGUGUGCUCUACCACAGCGUCCCAUCCCAUGUCACUCAGGGCGGUAAGUGAUAUCAUUUUGAGGAUACUUGAAGCACAGUCCAAAGUUAAUGAAAACCAUGCAGUUCUUGUCCAGUGUGAUGGCUAGAAAGUAGACACCCUCAAAAGUAUUUUUGUAAGUCACACCUUGAUUGAUACCUUUUUAUAAAAUAUUAUCUCACUACCAGGAGUCUGUUUUAGGUUCUUCUCUGCUUUAGCAACAAUGUCUUUUUCUUCAAAAUACAAAUAAUUCUUGUACUUUAUCAAAGCCUUACGUUCAUAAGUAUUAGGUAUGACUUAGCUGUUUCCGUGUCUUCAGAAAGAGUAGUACAAAAUUUAAGAUGUCUCCCUUCCAUAGCUUGAAAAGUAGUGUUUGCCAAGGGACUGGUAAAACUUGAAUCUUUUUUGCUCUGCAAAGAAUACCUAAAUUUACUUAUUGUUUAAACAAUGUUAUUUAGCCAAGUAAUUAUUCCAAGUGUCUGAAUGGUCAUCAUGCACUCCCCGUAUUUAUCAAUAAAUGGUAUAAUACCCUUAUCUUUAGAGAACA